rnacentral:rRNA from 1 species
UACAUAGGUGGCAAGCGUUAUCCGGAAUCAUUGGGUUUAAAGGGUCCGUAGGCGGUCUAGUAAGUCAGUGGUGAAAGCCCAUCGCUCAACGGUGGAACGGCCAUUGAUACUGCUAGACUUGAAUUACUAGGAAGUAACUAGAAUAUGUAGUGUAGCGGUGAAAUGCUUAGAUAUUACAUGGAAUACCAAUUGCGAAGGCAGGUUACUACUAGUUGAUUGACGCUGAUGGACGAAAGCGUGGGUAGCGAACAGG